rnacentral:rRNA from 1 species
GAUGAACGCUGGCGGCGUGCCUAAUACAUGCAAGUCGAGCGAACAGACGAUGAGCUUGCUCCUCUGACGUUAGCGGCGGACGGGUGAGUAACACGUGGAUAGCCUACCUAUAAGACUGGGAUAACUUCGGGAAACCGGAGCUAAUACCGGAUAAUAUAUUGAACCGCAUGGUUCAAUAGUGAAAGACGGUUUUGCUGUCACUUAUAGAUGGAUCCGCGCCGCAUUAGCUAGUCGGUAAGGUAACGGCUUACCAAGGCGACGAUGCGUAGCCGACCUGAGAGGGUGAUCGGCCACACUGGAACUGAGACACGGUCCAGACUCCUACGGGAGGCAGCAGUAGGGAAUCUUCCGCAAUGGGCGAAAGCCUGACGGAGCAACGCCGCGUGAGUGAUGAAGGUCUUCGGAUCGUAAAACUCUGUUAUUAGGGAAGAACAAAUGUGUAAGUAACUAUGCACGUCUUGACGGUACCUAAUCAGAAAGCCACGGCUAACUACGUG